rnacentral:rRNA from 1 species
AUUCUUCCGGUACCGUCAUCCUCCCGCCGUAUUAGGGCAGAAGUUUUCUUUCCGGACAAAAGUGCUUUACAACCCGAAGGCCUUCUUCACACACGCGGCAUUGCUGGAUCAGGCUUGCGCCCAUUGUCCAAAAUUCCCCACUGCUGCCUCCCGUAGGAGUCUGGGCCGUGUCUCAGUCCCAGUGUGGCUGGUCGUCCUCUCAGACCAGCUACAGAUCGUCGCCUUGGUAGGCCUUUACCCCACCAACUAGCUAAUCUGCCAUCGGCCGCCCCUGUAGCGAGAGGUCCUAAGAUCCCCCCCUUUCCUCCGUAGAGCGUAUGCGGUAUUAAUCCGGCUUUCGCCGGGCUAUCCCCCACUACAGGACACGUUCCGAUGUAUUACUCACCCGUUCGCCACUCGCCACCAGGGUUGCCCCCGUGCUGCCGUUCGACUUGCAUGUGUAAGGCAUGCCGCCAGCGUUCAAUCUGAGCCAGGAUCAAACUCUGUCGACAUCGAUGGAAGCC